rnacentral:tRNA from 1 species
GGGGGUAUAGCUCAGUAGUAGAGUGCUUGUCUAGCAUGCAUGAGGCCCUAGGUUCAAUCUCCAGUACUGCAA